CGGCAACAGCUCAAAUUUGAAAUCUGGCCCUAGGCCCGAGUUGUAAUUUGCAGAGGAUGCUUUUGGGGCGGUGCCUUCCAAGUUCCCUAGAACGGGACGCCAGAGAGGGUGAGAGCCCCGUACAGUUGGACACCAAGCCUUUGUAAAGCUCCUUCGAC
rnacentral:rRNA from 1 species